GUGCAUCAGAAAAUACCAAACGGGUGUCAUAUAAUGCAACACCCGCAAAACCUCUCGUCGUCCCGUGUAACGAUAUCCUACGCAAAAUGAAUGAGAAAUGGAGAAGAAGAAAGCAGCUUUAAGCCACAGUGAAGCUACUAAUCAAUUUACAAUUUCCCUGAAAUUUACAAACUGCAGCUACAUUUUCCCAAGUGUGUAUAUGGUGCCGAAUAGCUCAAUUGUACUCGCGUCGAUCCUGACGGGUAC
rnacentral:rRNA from 1 species